AGUGAACGCUGGCGGUAGGCCUAACACAUGCAAGUCGAACGGCAGCACAGUAAGAGCUUGCUCUUACGGGUGGCGAGUGGCGGACGGGUGAGGAAUACAUCGGAAUCUACUUUUUCGUGGGGGAUAACGUAGGGAAACUUACGCUAAUACCGCAUACGACCUACGGGUGAAAGCAGGGGAUCUUCGGACCUUGCGCGAUUGAAUGAGCCGAUGUCGGAUUAGCUAGUUGGCGGGGUAAAGGCCCACCAAGGCGACGAUCCGUAGCUGGUCUGAGAGGAUGAUCAGCCACACUGGAACUGAGACACGGUCCAGACUCCUACGGGAGGCAGCAGUGGGGAAUAUUGGACAAUGGGCGCAAGCCUGAUCCAGCCAUACCGCGUGGGUGAAGAAGGCCUUCGGGUUGCAAAGCCCUUUUGUUGUGAAAGAAAAGCAGCAGGUUAAUACCCCGCUGUUCUGACGGUACCCAAGGAAUAAGCACCGGCUAACUUCGUG
rnacentral:rRNA from 1 species